rnacentral:rRNA from 1 species
AGAUGCGAUCAUACCAGCAGUAAAGCACCGGAUCCCAUCAGAACUCCGAAGUUAAGCUUGCUUGGGCGAGAGUAGUACUAGGAUGGGUGACCUCUUGGGAAGUCCUCGUGUUGCAUUCC